UGAGGAAUAUUGGUCAAUGGGCGGAGGCCUGAACCAGCCAUCCCGCGUGAAGGAAGAAGGCCUUAUGGGUUGUAAACUUCUUUUCUGUUUGAAGAAUAAGCUUGUCGUGACAAGUGAUGCCGGUAGGACAGGAAUAAGCAUCGGCUAACUCCGUGCCAGCAGCCGCGGUAAUACGGAGGAUGCAAGCGUUAUCCGGAUUUAUUGGGUUUAAAGGGUGCGCAGGUGGUUUAAUAAGUCAGUGGUGAAAGUCUGCCGCUUAACGGUAGGAUUGCCAUUGAUUCUGUUGGACUUGAAUAUGGAUGAGGUAGGCGGAAUGUGUAGUGUAGCGGUGAAAUGCUUAGAUAUUACACAGAACACCGAUUGCGAAGGCAGCUUACUAAUCCAUGAUUGACGCUGAGGCACGAAAGCGUGGGGAUCAAACAG
rnacentral:rRNA from 1 species